GACGGAGGAUGCAAGUGUUAUCCGGAAUCACUGGGCGUAAAGCGUCUGUAGGUCGUUUAAAAAGUCUACUGUUAAAAAUUGAAGCUUAACUUCAAAGGUGCCGUAGAAACUUUUAAACUUGAGUAUGGUAGGGGUAGAGGGAAUUUCCAGUGGAGCGGUGAAAUGCGUAGAUAUUGGAAAGACCACCAAUGGCGAAGGCACUCUACUGGGCCAUUACUGACACUGAAAGACGAAAGCUAGGGGAGCAAAUGGG
rnacentral:rRNA from 1 species